UGGUGGCGACCGGCGCACGGGUGCGUAACGCGUAUGCAACCUACCUUUAACAGGGGGAUAACACUGAGAAAUUGGUACUAAUACCCCAUAAUAUCGUAGAAGGCAUCUUUUAUGGUUGAAAAUUCCGAUGGUUAGAGAUGGGCAUGCGUUGUAUUAGCUAGUUGGUGGGGUAACGGCUCACCAAGGCGACGACACAUAGGGGGACUGAGAGGUUAACCCCCCACACUGGUACUGAGACACGGACCAG
rnacentral:rRNA from 1 species